UGACCUCAAAUCGGGUGAGACUACCCGCUGAACUUAAGCAU
rnacentral:rRNA from 2 species